rnacentral:rRNA from 1 species
GCUAACGGCCAUACCACCUGAGCAUGCCUGAUCUCAGAAGCUAAGUGGGGUCGGGUCUGGGAGAUCGCCCGGGAAUACGAGGUGCUGCAAGCU